rnacentral:rRNA from 1 species
ACAACGGAGAGUUUGAUCCUGGCUCAGGACGAACGCUGGCGGCGUGCCUAACACAUGCAAGUCAGGGAGAAAAGGGUAGCAAUAUCCUGAGUAAACCGGCGAACGGGUGAGUAACACGUAGGCAACUUACCUUGUGAACGGGAAUAACCCCGGGAAACCGGAGCUAAUGCCCGAUGCAGUUCCGGUGGAGCAUUCCACCGGAAUGAAAGGUCCCGGUGCAAAUCGGGAUGUCACAAGAUGGGCCUGCGUCCCAUUAGAUAGUUGGCGGGGUAACGGCCCACCAAGUCAACGAUGGGUAGCUGGUCUGAGAGGACGACCAGCCACACUGGAACUGAGACACGGUCCAGACUUCUACGGAAGGCAGCAGUGAGGAAAUCCGUUAGGAUGUAAACCUCUUUUGCGGGGGAAGAAUGUGGCGCUUGGCGCCAUUGACGGUACCCCGUGAAUAAGCACCGGCCAACUACGUGCCAGCAGCCGCGGUAAUACGUAGGGUGCAAGCGUUGUCCGGAAUUACUGGGUGUAAAGGGUCCGCAGGCGGGCGAGCAAGUCGGUGGUGAAAUUCUUUGGCUCAACCAAAGGACUGCCUUCGAUACUGCUCGUCUUGAGUUCGAGAGAGGAUAAUGGAAUUCAUGGUGUAGCGGUGAAAUGCGUAGAGAUCAUGAAGAACACCAGUAGCGAAGGCGGUUAUCUGGCUCGAUACUGACGCUCAGGGACGAAAGCGUGGGGAGCAAACAGGAUUAGAUACCCUGGUAGUCCACGCCCUAAACGAUGGAUGUUCGGUGUCGGUCCCGCUGAGUACUUGUUCGCAAGUCCUCAGCGGGAUCGGUGCCUGAGCUAACGCGUUAAACAUCCCACCUGGGGAGUACGAUCGCAAGGUUGAAACUCAAAGGAAUUGACGGGGGCCCGCACAAGCAGUGGAGCAUGUGGUUCAAUUCGAUGCAACGCGAAGAACCUUACCUGGGUUUGAAAGGCAAGCGACAGGCGAUGAAAGUCGCUCUCCCCGCAAGGGGCGCUUGUACAGGUGCUGCAUGGCUGUCGUCAGCUCGUGCCGUGAGGUGUUAGGUUAAGUCCUGCAACGAGCGCAACCCCUGCACUUAGUUGCCAUCAGGUAAUGCUGGGCACUCUAAGUGGACUGCCUACGCAAGUAGUGAGGAAGGUGGGGAUGACGUCAAGUCCUCAUGGCCCUUAUACCCAGGGCCACACACGUGCUACAAUGGGUGAUACAAAGGGUUGCCAAGCCGCAAGGUGGAGCCAAUCCCAAAAAAUCAUCCUCAGUUCGGAUUGGGGUCUGAAACUCGACCCCAUGAAGCUGGAAUUGCUAGUAAUCGCGUAUCAGCACGACGCGGUGAAUACGUUCCCGGGCCUUGUACACACCGCCCGUCAAGCCAUGGAAACUAGGGGUACCCGAAAACGCUGCGCUAACCGCAAGGGAGCAGGCGUCUAAGGUAAAACUAGCGACUGGGGCUAAGUCGUAACAAGGUAGCCGUACCGGAAGGUGCGGCUGGAUCACCUCCUUUCUAAGGAGC